CCCCUAGAUGUUCUGGGCCGCACGCGCGCUACACUGAACAGUUCAACAAGUCUUAACCUUGGCCGAUAGGUCUGGGUAAUCUUUGAACGCUGUUCGUGAUUGGGAUAGACCUUUGCAAUUAUGGGUCUUCAACGAGGAAUUCCUAGUAAACGCAAGUCAUCAGCUUGCAUUGAUUACGUCCCUGCCCUUUGUACACACCGCCCGUCGCACCUACCGAUUGAAUGGUCCGGUGAAAUCUCGGGACGGCGGCUUGGUCGCUUGCGUCCGACUGCUGAAACUUGAUUAAACCAUAUCAUUUAGAGGGAGGUGAANUCGUAACA
rnacentral:rRNA from 1 species